rnacentral:rRNA from 1 species
AACCGCAAGUAUAUCACCCUGUAGCCCAAGACUGAGCAGGGCUGAGCCUGGUCAGUACCUGGAUGGGAGACCUCCUAGGAAAACUAGAUUGCUGCUG